UGGGGAAUAUUGGACAAUGGGCGAAAGCCUGAUCCAGCCAUGCCGCGUGUGUGAAGAAGGUCUUCGGAUUGUAAAGCACUUUAAGUUGGGAGGAAGGGCAUUAACCUAAUACGUUAGUGUUUUGACGUUACCGACAGAAUAAGCACCGGCUAACUCUGUGCCAGCAGCCGCGGUAAUACAGAGGGUGCAAGCGUUAAUCGGAAUUACUGGGCGUAAAGCGCGCGUAGGUGGUUUGUUAAGUUGGAUGUGAAAUCCCCGGGCUCAACCUGGGAACUGCAUUCAAAACUGACUGACUAGAGUAUGGUAGAGGGUGGUGGAAUUUCCUGUGUAGCGGUGAAAUGCGUAGAUAUAGGAAGGAACACAAGUGGAGAAGGCGACCACCUGGAGUAAUACUGACACUGAGGUGCGAAAGUGUGGGGAGCAAACA
rnacentral:rRNA from 1 species